CCUACGGGGGGCUGCAGUGAGGAAUAUUGGUCAAUGGACGAGAGUCUGAACCAGCCAAGUAGCGUGAAGGAUGACUGCCCUAUGGGUUGUAAACUUCUUUUAUCUGGGAAUAAAAUGUUCCACGUGUGGGAUUUUGUAUGUACCAUAUGAAUAAGGAUCGGCUAACUCCGUGCCAGCAGCCGCGGUAAUACGGAGGAUCCGAGCGUUAUCCGGAUUUAUUGGGUUUAAAGGGAGCGUAGGUGGAUUGUUAAGUCAGUUGUGAAAGUUUGCGGCUCAACCGUAAAAUUGCAGUUGAAACUGGCAGUCUUGAGUACAGUAGAGGUGGGCGGAAUUCGUGGUGUAGCGGUGAAAUGCUUAGAUAUCACGAAGAACUCCGAUUGCGAAGGCAGUUCACUGGACUGCAACUGACACUGAGGCUCGAAAGUGUGGGUAUCAAACAGGAUUAGAGACCCCUGUAGUC
rnacentral:rRNA from 1 species